AGCCGCCCGCCCGCCUCCCGCCGCCACAGCCCGGAGGGUCCCACGGCCCCGCCCCGCCGGAGCGAGCGCGGCCUCCGCAGGCACCAUCGGAGGUCCAGGCGCUCGCCGGCCCCGCGGGAGGAUGUUAUUACUCUGCAGCCUGAUGGAUAAUCCCACGCAGAAUCACUGAAUCAAUUGGGUUGGAAAAGACUUCUGCAAUCAUUGAGUCCAGCCUAUGACGGAUCAUAACCUUGUCAACUAGACCAGAGCACAUCCAGGCUUUCCUUAAACAUCUCCAGGGAUGGUGACUCUACCACCUCCCUUGGCAGACCCUUCCAAUGUCUAAUCACCCUUUCCAAUGUCUAAUCACCCUUUUUUUGAAAAAAAAUUCAUAGAUGAACAACCUAUACUUCCCUGGCACAGCUUAAGACCCUGUCUUCUCAUCCUGUCACUGGUUGCCUGGGAGAAGAGGCUAAUCCCCACCUGGCUAAACCUCCUUUCAGGUAGUUGAAGAAUAAUGGUAAAAGCCACAAGCUUUUCAAGUAAUGAAAUAAUUAGAUAGAGGUUGUACUGGUCAGAAGCCAUUAUUAGGUAAAAAUAAAAUACAUCUUAGAAAAAAAAACAGGAUUCAGAAAACUGUAUGGUAGGAAGUGGGUAAGUGCUCUCUCACCAAAUACGUCCUGUUUAAAAGUAGGUAGAGCACCUGUGAAAUUACAAAUGCUGAUGGCAAAUGAUGAUUGUUUCAGGUGUAAUACUGUUGUAGUUUUAAGAAUUCAGCUGUGAUACAUCCUUUAUGUGUCUUCACAUAAAAAGUCCUACUGUCUUGGAGAUGUGCUGGGCUCUAGGAACGACAAUCCAAAGACAUGAAAUGGUCAAAAGUAUAAGUUUUCAAAAGACUGCAUAAAGGACAAAAAAACCCUAUUUAUUUGAUUCCUUUUGAGCUUCAAAUAUUUUAAGCUUUCUUUGUUUAAUAUGAGCAGCAUUAAAGCUGUCUUUUACAUGAGGAAGUUUUGUCAUCAAGUGCUCCAAUCAUAAUAACAUCUGUUUAUUUGGCAUUAAUUGUUUGCCUGAAUUCUACCUUGGGUAUGUAGCUGAAGUAGUUUAGAGUAGUCAUUUAAGCUAAUGCUAAAGAUAACUGCUGCACCCAAUUGGUUUGACUUUACUUGGCAGUCACCAACAUUCAUGGACACUGAACUGUAUAAAUGAGUUAAUCAGAUAAGUAAUCUUUUUGUAAAUAAACUCAGGUUAGAUUUAGUCCAGAUAAGUGCCAUCUGAUCUGUGGUGCAGGUUGCAUAAAUGUUCAUGCUGAUACAAGGAAGCACAAAAAAAAAGAGAGCAGGAUCAUUUUCCAUUGUAGAGUAUAGGAGCAUGAUUGCAUAAUGUUAGAGUGAAUUUAAAACACUGAAAAUCUGUUUCAGCAGGAAAAAAAUUACUUCUUACAUAACUAAUAAGAAAAUUGGAUGUUCUGCCCAAUAUUGAAAGACCUUUUCUCCUCCAAAUUGCUUCACGAAACAGGAGUACUGGCAUGCUAAACUCCUUUUUGGGGCUCUGAGCAAGCCAGACCAGAAUGGCAGUAUUAAAAUUAAAUUAGCCAUUGCACAUUUUUUUGAGCUGCCACUUCUGACCAAAGUCUCCGUUAAUACUGGUUGUAUCAUUUGAAGCACUAUACGAGUAUGUUAUGGCAAUUACCUUCUAUACAUAUGUGUAUAUUUGCAUAGGAGCUAUCCUAAAGAAAUUAAAUUAAGGCAAGGACUUGUUUAUAAAGUGGACUUACUGAGGUCUGCUGCAUCCACCAUCAUGGUUUUUAUGUGGAGACUUGUUCUUAAGUGCUUUCUACAUAAUGGAAAGAAAAUAGACUUAAUAGUUUUCAGAACCCAGGAGUAAUACUAGAAGCACUUUCCUUAAAAAUAAAAAUUAGUUUACAUUAUUACUUAACUUGGAAAUUUCAAAAAUGAUAUUUUGUAAAGAGUGCAGAAAUCCCUGAAACUGUUCUUCCUGCACAGUAGCCUCUGAAGUGUACAUAUAUAUUUUAAAUAAUCCUCUUGAUUAUUCAAGUCAUAUUCACAGUAUGUUUCCAAGUGUGUCUAUAGAACAUUUAACAGGGAUUAUAUACUGUAUUAGUCUUGAACAUAUAAUCUGUAUUCUGAUAAAUUAUUCUUAAAGGAAUUUUGUGUGUUAGUGUUGCUUUUCUCUGUGUCUUCAAAAGUUAGUUGUAUCUUAAAUACAGGAUUUUCUUUCACAUAA